CGGACGGGUGAGUAACGCGUGGGUAACCUGCCCUGUACACACGGAUAACAUACCGAAAGGUAUGCUAAUACGAGAUAAAAUACUUUUAUCGCAUGGUAGAAGUAUCAAAGCUUUUGCGGUACAGGAUGGACCCGCGUCUGAUUAGCUAGUUGGUAAGGUAACGGCUUACCAAGGCGACGAUCAGUAGCCGACCUGAGAGGGUGAUCGGCCACAUUGGAACUGAGACACGGUCCAAACUCCUACGGGAGGCAGCAGUGGGGAAUAUUGCACAAUGGGCGAAAGCCUGAUGCAGCAACGCCGCGUGAGCGAUGAAGGCCUUCGGGUCGUAAAGCUCUGUCCUCAAGGAAGAUAAUGACGGUACUUGAGGAGGAAGCCCCGGCUAACUACGUGCCAGCAGCCGCGGUAAUACGUAGGGGGCUAGCGUUAUCCGGAAUUACUGGGCGUAAGGGGUGCGUAGGUGGUUUCUUAAGUCAGAGGUGAAAGGCUACGGCUCAACCGUAGUAAGCCUUUGAAACUGGGAAACUUGAGUGCAGGAGAGGAGAGUGGAAUUCCUAGUGUAGCGGUGAAAUGCGUAGAUAUUAGGAGGAACACCAGUUGCGAAGGCGGCUCUCUGGACUGUAACUGACACUGAGGCACGAAAGCGUGGGGAGCAAACAGGAUUAGAUACCCUGGUAGUCCACGCCGUAAACGAUGAGUACU
rnacentral:rRNA from 1 species